GAAGCAGCUUGCUGCUUCGCUGACGAGUGGCGGACGGGUGAGUAAUGUCUGGGAAACUGCCUGAUGGAGGGGGAUAACUACUGGAAACGGUAGCUAAUACCGCAUAACGUCGCAAGACCAAAGAGGGGGACCUUCGGGCCUCUUGCCAUCGGAUGUGCCCAGAUGGGAUUAGCUUGUUGGUGGGGUAACGGCUCACCAAGGCGACGAUCCCUAGCUGGUCUGAGAGGAUGACCAGCCACACUGGAACUGAGACACGGUCCAGACUCCUACGGGAGGCAGCAGUGGGGAAUAUUGCAUAAUGGGCGCAAGCCUGAUGCAGCCAUGCCGCGUGUAUGAAGAAGGCCUUCGGGUUGUAAAGCCUUUCAGCGGGGAGGAAGGGAGUAAAGUUAAUACCUUUGCUCAUUGACGUUACCCGCAGAAGAAGCACCGGCUAACUCCGUGCCAGCAGCCGCGGUAAUACGGAGGGUGCAAGCGUUAAUCGGAAUUACUGGGCGUAAAGCGCACGCAGGCGGUUUGUUAAGUCAGAUGUGAAAUCCCCGGGCUCAACCUGGGAACUGCAUCUGAUACUGGCAAGCUUGAGUCUCGUAGAGGGGGGUAGAAUUCCAGGUGUAGCGGUGGAAUGCGUAGAGAUCUGGAG
rnacentral:rRNA from 1 species